rnacentral:rRNA from 1 species
CCUACGGGUGGCAGCAGUGAGGAAUAUUGGUCAAUGGACGAGAGUCUGAACCAGCCAAGUAGCGUGAAGGAUGACUGCCCUAUGGGUUGUAAACUUCUUUUAUAUGGGAAUAAAAUGUUCCACGUGUGGGAUUUUGUAUGUACCAUAUGAAUAAGGAUCGGCUAACCCCGUGCCAGCAGCCGCGGUAAUACGGAGGAUCCGAGCGUUAUCCGGAUUUAUUGGGUUUAAAGGGAGCGUAGGUGGAUUGUUAAGUCAGUUGUGAAAGUUUGCGGCUCAACCGUAAAAUUGCAGUUGAAACUGGCAGUCUUGAGUACAGUAGAGGUGGGCGGAAUUCGUGGUGUAGCGGUGAAAUGCUUAGAUAUCACGAAGAACUCCGAUUGCGAAGGCAGUUCACUGGACUGCAACUGACACUGAGGCUCGAAAGUGUGGGUAUCAAACAGGAUUAGAUACCCGUGUAGUC